AGAUGAGGUACAAUAGCUAUGGGUCUGGUCAUCAUGAGAGUGUGGUCUGCAAGGACAAAGGCAUAGAGAAAUAAAUAUAAUAACUCCAAACUGGAACAAACUCCGUGGGAGGAGGAAGGAAGAAGGAAGCAGUGGCGGUGGUCAGGGUGGCGAUGCUUUGCGGGGGAUGGCUGAGCUGACCACAGGAUGCUCAGAGGCCACUCUGCCGAGUGGAAGGAAGAGGUGCAGGAAUCACCAUAAGAGUCUUAAUCAGGGAGUGACACGGUCAGUCCUGCGUGUUUGAAGGCGCACCAUGGCUGCAGUGUGGGAAGGUGAAGCUGUAGCCAGGACGGUGAUCAGUUAGGAGACCUUGUGUGGCCCAAGCAAAGCCUGGGGAGAGUCUAAACAAGGAUUCUGCUUGUUGGGGACAGAGCAGGAGCUGACUGUUUCUUCCUAACUCACUUUGUGACCUUGGGCGAGUCCAGGCUGCUCUGCGGGAAGCCGGUGACGGGCCCUGGCGGCUCCCCCGACCACACGGCUAUGGGUGAGACGCUUAGAUCCUUUAAACACGAGUCGGACAGAACCGCUCUGAGAGAGUCAGUGAUGACGCCAGGGCAUUCCCCUCCCAGCCGCCCACCGGUGUCCUCCGAGCCUGCGCCCCACCGGGAGAAGGGGUCUGAUGUUUUAUUCUUCUACCUCCUUCUCAUGUGCAAGGCAACCUACAAUUUCUUGUGGACACAUCAACUUCUCAGUGUCUGUAUCAGGAAUUUCAAACUCUCAUUCAUCCUCCAUCACCUUGAUAAUCUCUACUUGGUUUGAACUGUCUAAAGAAAAAGAAAAAAUGUUUCUCUGUGCUGCGAAUCAAGUCUUUCUUUAGUCCUGUUUUUAUUAUUCUUCUAUCAAAAGAUUCAAGUUAAAGAGCGGGAUUCCUUGUUAAUCUCUUUAAUAAGCUUUGGCUGUUUGGAAUGCACAUAGUUGAGUUGGUCUCCCCAUGGGACCCUGGACCCUGGACCCUGAGGAUGGCCCUGCACGGGGGGUGCCUUAGCUUGUGUCUCUGCUCCGUCACUUGUCUGCAAGCUUGCUGAGGGCAGGGACUGUCUGCUUACCUCUGGUCCCAGCACCUGGCUUGGGGCCGGCACGGAGUAUGUGCUCAGUAAGUGCUGCGUUUGGGAACAGCACUUGGAUCCCAGAACAGUUAACACCCUCCCGCGAGGCCUCGGAGGGCGCAAGCGCCAAGCCCAAGCUUCCUUUCACAUCCUGCUCCUGCAGAAAUGGAGCAGCUGCUCCACUCGGGCUAUUUAAUGUCGAAAUCCCAUCUUCCCCCACGUGAGGCUGGCCUCUUCUCUACCGCCAUCAAUUCUCCAAGGCCGUCCAAGGUGCCUCGUGGAAGCAGACAUCUGCAGAUGGCUCGCGUGACCCGCGGAUGGGGGUUGAGCUUCACGCCUCACUGCCAUGCAGGCUGGUGUCUCCCGUCAGCAUCGGCGGGCCAGGCGGGGUGUCCAGGCAGACCCGUGACCGCCCGGAGGUCCUGCCUGGCAGUCCCUGGGCUGGCAACCUCCGAUGUCAGGGGUGUCACGGUGAACAGUGAUUGUUGAUGACGGGCUGGGGCACCCCACCCUUUAUUCUUGCCCCAGCCGGCUCUGAAAUUCCUGGAGACAGCACUGUCACCCCCUGUCAUCUCUGAGCCUCAGUUAACUCUUCUAGAAACUGGCGAUAACACAGUGCCCCAUGUAGUAGGCACUCGACCACCACAGCAGGAUUGACCCCACCAUGCACGGACUGAAGGCAAAGUGUGGGCUCCCGGAGGACCCACCGCGCUUUGGAGCAAAGCCCUCUCUGGUUGCUCAAGGCGGAUGCAGGUACAUGUGUGCUUUUCUGUUUCUGUCCACAAAGGUGCAGGAAAUUUCUCAGUAGGGCCAGAGGCCUGGGCCUCACUGCCUCUGUGACAGCUCCCACUUGUCACCCAACAAAGGCCAUGCCUUUGGCUGCACCUACCCGUGGCUUUCUGUGGCCAUAUUAAAGUACCCGAGGGCAGCUGUGACUCCCUCCCAGGGACCUGGUAAUAAGCACUGGCCCCGCACCUCAAUGCGAUUGAUUGAUUGAUUGACUGAUUGAUUGAUUUUGCUGAGGAAGAUUUGCCCUGAGCUCACAUCCAUCGCCAAACUCCCUCUUUUUUUUGCUUGAGGAAGACAAACCCUGAGCGAACACCUGUGCCAGUCUUCCCCUACUUUAUAUAUGGGUCGCGCCACAGCACGGCUGACAAGUGUUGUAGGUCCAUGCCCGGAAUCCCGACCUGUGAACCCGGCCCCCAAGGUGGAGCACAGAGCUUGAACCACCACGCCAUGGGCAGCCUCUCGAUGUGAUUUAAAACGUGCUUUGUUUACGCCCUUGUGAAGCCCAGGAGACUUGCAUCUGAAGCUGCCCAGCGAAUUCUGGGAGAAGAUGGUGGUGCAGUUUCCGGGAUGGAGACGUCCCAGGGCCCCGCCCUGAGUCUGAUAAGAUCAGGACCCUGAGACUCAGCGAGCAGCCUGUGAGAGGUGGGAGUAGGAUUCAGAUCCAGUCCUGCCUGUCCCUGAAGCUCCUGUGUUGGCCUCUAACCACUGUGCUGACAGAUCCCGCUGCCGGGCCUUCAGAAACAGCAGAGGAAAGGGGUCGGCAACCUUGUUCCAUGAAGUCCCGGACAGCGAUCCCCUUGGCUCUGCAGGCCGUGAGGUCUCUGUCACGACUGCUCAGCUCUGCCGUCACGGUGCAAAUGCGGCCCCAGACAACGUAGACACAAACGGGCGUGGCUGUGUUCCAAUAAAACUUUACUCACAAACACCGGUGGUGGGCCAGGUUUGGGCUGUGGGCCUUAGGUUUUGGACUCCUGUUGCGCGUUGCUGAAUCAGAGAUGUCAAGGUUACGAGGCAUCUUAGUUUCAGAAAAAUUGUAAUGUGACAAACGGUGCAUCUUAGAGACGAGGAGAUUUGAUAUUUCCUGAGUGAAGGAAUGAAUGAGUGAAUGAAUGGUUCAGGCAUGUGCCCCUGAGUGUUCGGCAGGGGAGACGAAUUCCCAGCAGUGAGUUCCGUGUGUGUCCUACAGACGCCUUCACUCUUCCUUAGGGGACGGCCCCU
rnacentral:lncRNA from 1 species